rnacentral:rRNA from 1 species
GACGAACGCUGGCGGCGUGCUUAACACAUGCAAGUCGAACGGAAAGGCCCUGCUUUUGUGGGGUGCUCGAGUGGCGAACGGGUGAGUAACACGUGAGUAACCUGCCCUUGACUUUGGGAUAACUUCAGGAAACUGGGGCUAAUACCGGAUAGGAGCUCCUGCUGCAUGGUGGGGGUUGGAACGUUUCGGCGGUUGGGGAUGGACUCGCGGCUUAUCAGCUUGUUGGUGGGGUAGGGGCUUACCAAGGAUUUGACGGGUAGCCGGCCUGAGAGGGUGACCGGCCACAUUGGGACUGAGAUACGGCCCAGACUCCUUCGGGAGGCAGCAGUGGGGAAUAUUGCACAAUGGGCGGAAGCCGGAUGCAGCAACGCCGCGUGCGGGAUGACGGCCUUCGGGUUGUAAACCGCUUUCGCCUGUGACGAAGCGUGAGUGACGGUAAUGGGUAAAGAAGCACCGGCUAACUACGU